rnacentral:lncRNA from 1 species
AGAAUUCCACUCUAUAUUAAUGUAACACUUUUUUUUUUCCUAGGUCAUGGAUUUGUGACUGUUGUCAUUGAGCUCCGCAACACCCAGGAAAGUGGGCAGAAGGGGGAAAAACAGCAAAGAGGGAUAAAAUGCUUUCUGGGGGCCCUAAUGCAUAUGCACUAAAGUGGAAUAUUUGGUGCUGAUUUAUUUAUUUAUUUAUUUAUU